rnacentral:rRNA from 1 species
UACAGAGGGUGCUAGCGUUGUUCGGAAUCAUUGGGCGUAAAGGGCGUGUAGGCGGUUUGUUAAGUCAUGUGUGAAAUCCCUCGGCUCAACCGGGGGAAUGACGCAUGAAACUGGCAAGCUAGAGUACCAAAGAGGGGGGUGGAAUUCCCGGUGUAGCGGUGAAAUGCGUAGAGAUCGGGAGGAACACCAGAGGCGAAAGCGGCGACCUGGACAGGCACUGACACUCGAACUGCGAAAGCGUGGGGAGCAAACAGG